rnacentral:rRNA from 1 species
UACAGAGGUCUCAAGCGUUGUUCGGAUUCAUUGGGCGUAAAGGGUGCGUAGGUGGCGUGGUAAGUCGGGUGUGAAAUUUCGGAGCUUAACUCCGAAACUGCAUUCGAUACUGCUGUGCUUGAGGACUGGAGAGGAGACUGGAAUUUACGGUGUAGCAGUGAAAUGCGUAGAGAUCGUAAGGAAGACCAGUGGCGAAGGCGGGUCUCUGGACAGUUUCUGACACUGAGGCACGAAGGCCAGGGGAGCAAACGGG